UCUUUGUCGUGUAUGAUACUGGUGGCGUGCAUCUGACGGGCGAAAUAUUGGACACAUGAGGCAGCAAUGGUAAAGUAAUGCUUGAGUGAAUGUUUCGCCAAGAAAACAUUGAUAAAGUUCACCAGCACAAGAAACUUUAAUUUGAGAAUACCUAACGAUAUUUGAAACUCCUUUUCAAAUUACAAAAUGAAUGAAAAUGUCACAAGUUGUGAACAAGACAUUGUGGUGCCUUGGCCUCUGUUCUCUCAUCUCCAUGCCAGAUGGCCAUUAUGAAGGAUCAUAAAUGUGUGAUCCUGAGCACUGAGAAGAGAUUUUUGCUGAUGUAGAGCUUUGUAACGGUGGACCCCACAGUCCAUGACAGAAACAAGUAGGAUAGAAAAUUCCAUCUUCUUCGAAAAGAAAAGGGGAGGUUUGCAUUUUAAGGAGCAGUACAUAUUGGCAGCCAUGUAGCUUUGUAGUUGCUUCGAAGAAUUUUUUCCCUUGUCUGGUGAUUGGUUGGACUUUGAAUACCUCCUAUCCUUAUAGCCAUGGAACACUUGACAUUGACUCCAUUUACACUUACAGAAUCAAAAACGAACACAUUUGCAACAAGUAUUUUUUGUGACCAAGAAACCAAAAUUUUUUUAUUUUUUUAAGCAUCUAUAGUUGGAAGACAUCUAGCGGAGGAAUUGCUUGUUACUGAGUACUCUACUGAACUGUCAAUUUGUUCGUUGUCAGGGGGCUACAUCGAGUUUGGUUGCCAUAAUAAUGGUUGCCUCGCGAAUUGGAAAUGUUUUGCCGAAUCCCAGGAUAUCGCCAAGUGUGCCAUAU